GAAUUUUGGACAAUGGGGGCAACCCUGAUCCAGCCAUCCCGCGUGUGCGAUGAAGGCCUUCGGGUUGUAAAGCACUUUUGGCAGGGAAGAAAAGGCUCUGGCUAAUACCUGGAGCUGCUGACGGUACCUGCAGAAUAAGCACCGGCUAACUACGUCCCAGCACCCGCGGUAAUACGUAGGGUGCAAGCUUUAAUCGGAAUUCCUGGGCGUAAAGGUUCCUCAACCGCGUCAGCAAAUCACCGCUCAAAUCCCAGUGCUUAACCUUUGAACUGCAUUCUUAACUGCCGGGCUAGAAUAUGUCAACGUUAUAUCCACUUCCCCGUCUCUCCAUACCCUCCGUCGCUAUUCUUAUUCCUCCCCCUCACUACUACCCCCCCCUGCAAUAAUACUGACGCUCAUGCACGAAAGCGUGGGGAGCAAAC
rnacentral:rRNA from 1 species